rnacentral:lncRNA from 1 species
AUGUGUUGGCAAGUAUGUGGCCAUCCGCUGCACACCUGCUGCUGCAGCUGGGCAGGAAGGCAGGAGCAGUGCGUGGAGAUGUGGGUGUACCCUGAAUUGCAGCACCAGUUUCCAUUAUGCUCCACACCCUGCAUCACAGUGCAUACAUACAGCCCCAGAAUCUUCUGCCGUGGCCAUGUGAGAACCCUGGAUAAACCUCGCACUUGUGGGAUGGACAGCAGUUGGGUUGGGGGCAUUCCUGAAGAGCUCAAGCCUCAUCACCCCCCAUUUAUUGUGGAACUUGCUAUGUUUGAUAAUGAAGGAGGUUCACACAUUUGGAGCAGCUCCUGCACAUCUCUACACAUCUCACCAAGCUCUCCUGAGUGCAGAGGAGCAGGCAACUCCUCCUUCAUCACCCCUUGAAGUACACUGGGGUACUUCAGCAGCGCUGACUUUCACCCCACUUCGAAGGCAGUUCUGUGCCCAGCUCAGCUGCCGCAGCCUGAACUUUCAGUGCUGGUACCAGAGGAUGCUGAACGUGGUGUUGCAUGAUCUGGAGCUCACAUGGGCCACGUGGGGCUCAGCCAGUUGCAGAAGCUCAGCAAGCCCCAGUCCUACGGCUGACUUACCAUACAGUGGAGACUUCAGCCUCUCUGGGCAUUGCAGCAUGCUUUAAUACCAACCUACAUGCAAACGGAGUUUUCGGAGUGCAAACAUGAUUUAUAACCUGCUUAGUCCCAUCUUUGCAUGAGGAAUAGGAAUGAAGGCAGGCUUUAAGCAUUCUGACCUGGGCAUGAAUUCCUGAUCUAAGACCAACUUCUCCUCUGUUUCUCAUGUAAUUAGUCUCACCGAGAUGUGCUGGAACAUUUGAGAAGUCUUUGAGUGGAUAAUAGCUUGCAUAUUCCUUUUGCCCACAGCAUGAGCAGAAAAAUCUUCAUGCUGGCAUUCCUGGAAAUGUUAUCUGAAUAAUUCUUUUAUUCAUGUUUGGACACAAAUGAUAUUUUGAAGGUUAGCACGUGUGAGGCUAUUGCUAGUUGCUUUAUUUAGAGGAUAUACACAAAUAAGGACUCUGUAACUAAAGACAGGAUAUCUAGAGCCAAAUGCAUCUAUGGGAACUCCAGCAGCACAUUUUUGCUGGGUCCUUGAACCACUGUGGUGUUGCAGCUUUUAUCUUCUCUCAGUGACAUUACUCUGGAUUUGCAGGGACUUGGAAAAUUUCCCUUCAGGCUUGAUUUGGGGAGCCCUCUGAUUAUAGAAUUGAUUUCUGUUUUUUCAGAAUUCUUGCUGAUCAUCCCAAUAGUUGAACUGGUGGAGAACACAAAACUCAAAGCUACAUAAAGCUAAGAAAGCCAUAUUUAUUUACAUGCUUCAAACAUAAAACUGGGAAUACUGUUUUGAUCAAUGAUUCUGUGUGAAUUUCAUUAGACAUGGAAACCAAUGAGUUUUCUUAGCAGUAUCUGCAAUACAGAUGCGAUCCACUGGGAACUGUGAAAACGUAGCUCAUUUUUUCAUAGGGUACUCAACACCCAUGUGAACAGUAGUAUCUUUCAGGAUCAGUACUGGCCCCAAAUGACAAGGUCAUGAUGAAAGGUGCCAUCUCCUCUUCGUCCUGCCUUUGCAACAUGAGGAGGAAUGAAGGAGCAAAUAUUGCAAUCUCUGAAUUUGACAUAUCCCAGAAAUGUCCUGUCUUCCCCUUAUGGAGGGCUGUAAAUAAAACACAACUUACUUACUAAGACA